AUUGAACGCUGGCGGCAGGCCUAACACAUGCAAGUCGAGCGAGCGGCGGACGGGUGAGUAAUGUCUGGGAAACUGCCUGAUGGAGGGGGAUAACUACUGGAAACGGUAGCUCAUACCGCAUACCAUCAGAUGUGCCCAGAUUGGAUUAGCUAGUAGGUGGGGGAACGGCUCACCUAGGCGACGAUCCCUAGCUGGUCUGAGUGGAUGACCAGCCACCCUGGAAGUGAAACACGGUCCAGACUCUUACGGGAGGCAGCAGUGGGGAAUAUUGCACAAUGGGCGCAAGCCUGAUGCAGCCAGGCCGCGGGUGUGAAGAGGGCCUUCGGGUUGUAAAGCACGUUGAGCGGGGAGGCGUUACCCGCAGAAGAAGCACCGGCUAACUCCGUGCCAGCAGCCGCGGUAAUUC
rnacentral:rRNA from 1 species